rnacentral:tRNA from 1 species
GGCGGGAUGCCGGAGCGGCUGAACGGGCCUGUCUCGAAAACAGGUAUCCGAGUUCAACUCGGAUCGUGGGUUCAAAUCCCACUCCCGCCGCCC